rnacentral:rRNA from 1 species
ACGGGAGGCAGCAGUGGGGGAUAUUGCACAAUGGGGGAAACCCUGAUGCAGCGACGCCGCGUGAAGGAAGAAGGCCUUCGGGUUGUAAACUUCUGUCGUACGGGACGAUAAUGACGGUACCGUACAAGAAAGCCACGGCUAACUACGUGCCAGCAGCCGCGGUAAAACGUAGGUGGCAAGCGUUGUCCGGAAUUACUGGGUGUAAAGGGAGCGCAGGCGGGAGAGCAAGUUGGGAGUGAAAUCUAUGGGCUCAACCCAUAAAUUGCUUUCAAAACUGCUUUUCUUGAGUAGUGCAGAGGUAGGCGGAAUUCCCGGUGUAGCGGUGGAAUGCGUAGAUAUCGGGAGGAACACCAGUGGCGAAGGCGGCCUACUGGGCACCAACUGACGCUGAGGCUCGAAAGCAUGGGUAGCAAACAGGAUUAGAUACCCUGGUA